CUCUCAGGUUUAGGUGUGUGUGUUGUUGUUGUGUAACAGUAAAACAACAAAUCAAGUUUUAUUAAAAAAAACUGAACUGAACCUGAUGACUCUUCACCUCUGUGUCCUCUCACAGAGAGAAGAUGAUCCUGCUGCUCCUCAUCCUCACCUCCUCAGCAGCAGCACUUGAAGUGAAGGAGACACAGAGCUCCUAUCAGGCAGAGGAGAACCACAACAUCACACUGGAGUGGACGUUCCCCACAGACACUCAGACUAAGACUGAGGACAUUUAUGUCCUCUGUUCUCAUUUAACCAAAAAAGAAUCAGUCCUGUAUCAGGUCCAUGCUGGUGUUGAGCUCUCAGAGUCUGUGGAUGAAGGUUUUUCAGGAAGAGUCCAGAGUGACACAGACGCCCUCAGAGAAGGACGAAUCAGACUUCAUCUGUCCAGACUCAGGACUGAAGACUCUGGUCUGUAUGUGUGUGAUGUGAGGACAGCUUCUGGUUCUGGUUCUUCCAGCUGUGAGCUCACAGUCUCUGCUGCUGCUGCUCAGACACACACUGACAGACCAGCUCUGAGUCCACCAGCAGACACAGGAGGACGGACAGGACUCAACAUUGUACUGAUGGCAGCAGUAGUUCUCGUGGUCCAAUUUGUGGUUUCAGUUUGUUGUGGUGUUAGAAAUAAGGGAUAUAUAGUUAGAAUGAUUUAGCACCAACAGCAGAGUCACUGUGUAGUUCUUUGCUGAUGUCUCUGAGUGAUGGACUGACUCUGUCCACAGCUCUUUCAGAGGUCGGCCAUGCUGUGUGUUGAUCUGAGGAAGUAUCUACUGUCAGUGACAAAUGUGUUUGAAUAUUUAUGUGGUUCAGAUGAAGAUAAACAAGGACUCUCCUGAAAACAUCUGAGGUAGGGCAGGAGGUUUUGAAAACUUAGUGAGAGUCAGCCAGAUUUGGAAAGUAAACACCCCUUUCUCUCGGAGCUCACCUCGAAGCCACGCCUCCCAAUCACAUGGACGCACAUUACCUGAAGACGAGCUGCGGUCUGUGACUUCGGCCAUCAUGCACGUACCUCUCUGGUGCACACAGAGCAGGAAGAGAGUGACAACCAGCCAAUACUCCGCGCAGGGUCCACCCGGAGGAUUGGCUGAUGUGUUUAGCGUUUUAUAGCUUCAGAUGAUUCAUAUUCUUUGUUUUAAUGAUAAACUGCCGAACUAGUCAGCUGCUAUCGAAUUGUAAAGAGAAGUUACACUAAUUUAAUAAGAAGUGCAUCAGGAUGAAAUCUCCUACCUGACCUUU
rnacentral:lncRNA from 1 species